AUACGUAGGUGGCAAGCGUUGUCCGGAUUUAUUGGGCGUAAAGCGCGCGCAGGUGGUUUCUUAAGUCUGAUGUGAAAGCCCACGGCUCAACCGUGGAGGGUCAUUUGGAAACUUGGGAGACUUGAGUGCAGAAGAGGAUAGUGGAAUUCCAAGUGUAGCGGUGAAAUGCGUAGAGAUUUGGAGGAACACCAGUAGGCGAAGGCGACUGUCUGGUCUGUAACUGACACUGAGGCGCCGAAAAGCGUGGGGAGCAAACAGGAUUAGAUACCCCCGUAGUCC
rnacentral:rRNA from 1 species